AUUGAACGCUGGCGGCAUGCUUUACACAUGCAAGUCGAACGGCAGCACGGGGGCAGCCCUGGUGGCGAGUGGCGAACGGGUGAGUAAUACAUCGGAACGUGCCCGGUCGUGGGGGAUGACGUAGCGAAAGUUACGCUAAUACCGCAUACGAUCUGAGGAUGAAAGCGGGGGACCUUCGGGCCUCGCGCGAUCGGAGCGGCCGAUGUCAGAUUAGGUAGUUGGUGGGGUAAAGGCCUACCAAGCCGACGAUCUGUAGCUGGUCUGAGAGGACGACCAGCCACACUGGGACUGAGACACGGCCCAGACUCCUGCGGGAGGCAGCAGUGGGGAAUUUUGGACAAGGGGCGCAUGCCGGAUCCAGCCAUUCCGCGUGCAGGACGAAGGCCUUCGGGUUGUAAACUGCUUUUGUACGGAGCGAAAAGGCUCUGUCUAAUACCUGGGGCUCAUGACGGUACCGGAAGAAUAAGCACCGGCUAACUACGUG
rnacentral:rRNA from 1 species